rnacentral:rRNA from 1 species
UUCCAGACUCCUACGGGAGGCAGCAGUGGGGAAUAUUGCACAAUGGGGGAAACCCUGAUGCAGCGACGCCGCGUGAGUGAAGAAGUAUUUCGGUAUGUAAAGCUCUAUCAGCAGGGAAGAUAAUGACGGUACCUGAGUAAGAAGCCCCGGCUAACUACGUGCCAGCAGCCGCGGUAAUACGUAGGGGGCAAGCGUUAUCCGGAUUUACUGGGUGUAAAGGGAGCGUAGACGGCAUGGCAAGUCUGAAGUGAAAGCCCGGGGCUCAACCGCGGGACUGCUUUGGAAACUGUUAAGCUGGAGUGCAGGAGAGGUAAGUGGAAUUCCUAGUGUAGCGGUGAAAUGCGUAGAUAUUAGGAGGAACACCAGUGGCGAAGGCGGCUUACUGGACUGUAACUGACGUUGAGGCUCGAAAGCGUGGGGAGCAAACAGGAUUAGAUACCCCAGUACU